rnacentral:rRNA from 1 species
GUGGGGAAUAUUGGACAAUGGGCGAAAGCCUGAUCCAGCCAUGCCGCGUGUGUGAAGAAGGUCUUCGGAUUGUAAAGCACUUUAAGUUGGGCGGAAGGGCAGUCAGUUAAUACCUUGCUGUUUUGACGUUACCGACAGAAUAAGCACCGGCUAACUUCGUGCCAGCAGCCGCGGUAAUACGAAGGGUGCAAGCGUUAAUCGGAAUUACUGGGCGUAAAGCGCGCGUAGGUGGUUUUGUAAGUAGGUGGUGAAAUCCCCGGGCUCAACCUGGGAACUGCCUUCAGAAAGGCAUGACUGGAGUACGGUAGAGGGUAGUGGAAUUUCCUGUGGAGCGGUGAAAUGCGUAGGUAUAGGAAGGAACACCAGUUGCGAAGGCGACUACCUGGACUGAUACUUACACUGAGGUGCGAAAGCGUGGGGAGCAAACAGGAUUAGAAACCCCGGUAGUCC